rnacentral:sRNA from 20 species
GCAGCGGAAAAAUCUGCUGCCGGGUUUGGAACCCCGUAUUUCAACAGGGCGCAUAACUGCGUAAGCGGUUAUUAU